UUAAUGCCGAGAGCUGAUGACGAGCUUUCUUUUAGAGAGCGAAGUGGUUGAUGCCAUGCUUCCAGGAAAAGCUUCUAAGCUUCAGGUAACUAGGAACCGUACCCCAAACCGACACAGGUGGUUGGGUAGAGAAUACCAAGGCGCUUGAGAGAACUCGGGUGAAGGAACUAGGCAAAAUGGCACCGUAACUUCGGGAGAAGGUGCGCCGGUGAGGGUGAAGUAUUUACUACGUAAGCCCAUGCCGGUCGAAGAUACCAGGCCGCUGCGACUGUUUAUUAAAAACACAGCACUCUGCAAACACGAAAGUGGACGUAUAGGGUGUGACGCCUGCCCGGUGCCGGAAGGUUAAUUGAUGGGGUUAGCGAAAGCGAAGCUCUUGAUCGAAGCCCCGGUAAACGGCGGCCGUAACUAUAACGGUCCUAAGGUAGCGAAAUUCCUUGUCGGGUAAGUUCCGACCUGCACGAAUGGCGUAACGAUGGCGGCGCUGUCUCCACCCGAGACUCAGUGAAAUUGAAAUCGCUGUGAAGAUGCAGUGUAUCCGCGGCUAGACGGAAAGACCCCGUGAACCUUUACUGUAGCUUUGCACUGGACUUUGAGCCUGCUUGUGUAGGAUAGGUGGGAGGCUUUGAAGCGUGGACGCCAGUUCGCGUGGAGCCAACCUUGAAAUACCACCCUGGCAUGCUUGAGGUUCUAACUCUGGUCCGUCAUCCGGAUCGAGGACAGUGUAUGGUGGGCAGUUUGACUGGGGCGGUCUCCUCCUAAAGAGUAACGGAGGAGUACGAAGGUGCGCUCAGACCGGUCGGAAAUCGGUCGUAGAGUAUAAAGGCAAAAGCGCGCUUGACUGCGAGACAGACACGUCGAGCAGGUACGAAAGUAGGUCUUAGUGAUCCGGUGGUUCUGUAUGGAAGGGCCAUCGCUCAACGGAUAAAAGGUACUCCGGGGAUAACAGGCUGAUACCGCCCAAGAGUUCAUAUCGACGGCGGUGUUUGGCACCUCGAUGUCGGCUCAUCACAUCCUGGGGCUGAAGCCGGUCCCAAGGGUAUGGCUGUUCGCCAUUUAAAGUGGUACGCGAGCUGGGUUUAGAACGUCGUGAGACAGUUCGGUCCCUAUCUGCCGUGGACGUUUGAGAUUUGAGAGGGGCUGCUCCUAGUACGAGAGGACCGGAGUGGACGAACCUCUGGUGUUCCGGUUGUCACGCCAGUGGCAUUGCCGGGUAGCUAUGUUCGGAAUAGAUAACCGCUGAAAGCAUCUAAGCGGGAAACUAGCCUCAAGAUGAGAUCUCACUGGGAACUUGAUUCCCCUAAAGGGCCGUCGAAGACUACGACGUUGAUAGGUUGGGUGUGUAAGCGCUGUGAGGCGUUGAGCUAACCAAUACUAAUUGCCCGUGAGGCUUGACCAU
rnacentral:rRNA from 1 species